rnacentral:rRNA from 1 species
GCCGACGUUAGUCGGUCCCCAACGCUCAGCGUAUGGCGUACCGCACGCGUCGUCUAUCCUAUCAGUUUGUCUGGUUUCGGCCGGGCUGACUGGUUCUUUUACUUUGAAAAAAUUAGAGUGUUUAAAGCAGGCUUGCGCAAUGAAUUACAUUAGCAUGGAAUAAUAAUAUAGGACUUCGGUCUCUACUUUAUUGGUUCUGGAGUUGAAGUAAUGAUUGAUAGGGAUAGUUGGGGGCGCUAGUAUUGAGCGUCCAGAGGUGAAAUUCUUAGAUUCUCUCAAGACUAACUUAUGCGAAAGCAUUCACCAAGGAUGUCUUCUUUAAUCAACAACGAA